UGAGGAAUAUUGGUCAAUGGGGCGAGAGCCUGAACCAGCCAAGUAGCGUGCAGGAUGACGGCCCUAUGGGUUGUAAACUGCUUUUAUAAGGGAAUAAAGUGAGUCUCGUGAGACUUUUUGCAUGUACCUUAUGAAUAAGGACCGGCUAAUUCCGUGCCAGCAGCCGCGGUAAUACGGAAGGUCCGGGCGUUAUCCGGAUUUAUUGGGUUUAAAGGGAGCGUAGGCCGGAGAUUAAGCGUGUUGUGAAAUGUAGGCGCUCAACGUCUGCACUGCAGCGCGAACUGGUUUCCUUGAGUACGCACAAAGUGGGCG
rnacentral:rRNA from 1 species